rnacentral:tRNA from 1 species
UUUAAGAUGGCAGAAUUUAAUGCUUAAGACUUAAGAUCUUAUUAUAAGGAUCUCCUUUCUUAAAA